rnacentral:rRNA from 1 species
CCAGAGAACUUAGCAGAGAUGCUUUGGUGCCUUCGGGAACUCUGAGGCAGGUGCUGCAUGGCUGUCGUCAGCUCGUGUUGUGAAAUGUUGGGUUAAGUCCCGCAACGAGCGCAACCCUUAUCCUUUGUUGCCAGCGGCUCGGCCGGGAACUCAAAGGAGACUGCCGGUGAUAAACCGGAGGAAGGUGGGGAUGACGUCAAGUCAUCAUGGCCCUUACGGCCAGGGCUACACACGUGCUACAAUGGCGCAUACAAAGAGAAGCGACCUCGCGAGAGCAAGCGGACCUCAUAAAGUGCGUCGUAGUCCGGAUUGGAGUCUGCAACUCGACUCCAUGAAGUCGGAAUCGCUAGUAAUCGUAGAUCAGAAUGCUACGGUGAAUACGUUCCCGGGCCUUGUACACACCGCCCGUCACACCAUGGGAGUGGGUUGCAAAAGAAGUAGGUAGCUUAACCUUCGGGAGGGCGCUUACCACUUUGUGAUUCAUGACUGGGGUGAAGUCGUAACAAGGUAGGCGUAGCGAG